AACGAACGCUGGCGGCAUGCCUAACACAUGCAAGUCGAACGAGACCUUCGGGUCUAGUGUCGCACGGGUGCGUAACGCGUGGGAACCUGCCCUUAGGUUCGGAAUAACUCCCCGAAAGGGGUGCUAAUACCGGAUAAUUUCUUCGGACCAAAGAUUUAUCGCCUUUGGAUGGGCCCGCGUUGGAUUAGCUAGUUGGUAGGGUAAAAGCCUACCAAGGCGACGAUCCAUAGCUGGUCUGAGAGGAUGAUCAGCCACACUGGGACUGAGACACGGCCCCGACUCGUACGGGAGGCAGCAGUGGGGAAUAUUGGACAAUGGGCGAAAGCCUGAUCCAGCAAUGCCGCGUGAGUGAUGAAGGCCUUAGGGUUGUAAAGCUCUUUUACCCGGGAUGAUAAUGACAGUACCGGGAGAAUAAGCUCCGGCUAACUCCGUG
rnacentral:rRNA from 1 species